CUCUUUUCGUUUAUUUGUAAAGUAUAACCUGCCCACUGACUUAAGUUAAAGGGCCGCGGUACUUUGACCGUGCAAAGGUAGCAUAAUCAUUAGUCUCUUAAUUAGGGGCUGGAAUGAAUGGUUGGACGAGAUAUAAACUGUCUUUUAUCUUGAAUUAGAAUUUAAUUAUUAAGUAAGAAAGCUUAAAUUAAUUUAUGGGACGAGAAGACCCUAUAGAGUUUAAUAAUUUUAUUUCCUAAAUUUGUUUGAUUAUAAGUUUGUAAAUAUAAUUUUUUUGUUGGGGUGAUGGAAAGAUAAUAUUAACUCUUUUUUUUGUUGUAUAUUUAUUUAUAAAAUGAUGAUCCAUUAUUAUUGAUUAUAAGACUAAAUUACC
rnacentral:rRNA from 1 species